AUGGAAGUUUUUUUUUUUUGUAACACAAAGAUGAUAGAGUUAUAAUUGAAUGUUUUCAAACAUUCAAUAGCCAUGGACUUUUCAAUUAGAAUUAUGAUUUAGGUAAUGUUUGGGCCUUUAUGUAAUAAAUUGUUCGUAUAUGGUCAUGAUUAACUAAUGGAACAGUAAAAUGGAUCCGAAGUCCGAAUUCCAAAGUGUCACUUCUACAGAAAAUAUAUUAUCAUUAGCAUGUAUGAGGUUUGUC
rnacentral:lncRNA from 1 species